GGUCUUAUAGUCAUAUAUAAAUGAUAUUAAAUUGCAAAUUUAAAGGAGUAUGAAAUACUAAGGCUU
rnacentral:tRNA from 1 species